rnacentral:rRNA from 1 species
UACGUAGGGUACGAGCGUUAAUCGGAAUUACUGGGCGUAAAGCGUGCGCAGGCGGUUUUGUAAGACAGAUGUGAAAUCCCCGGGCUUAACCUGGGAACUGCAUUUGUGACUGCAAGACUAGAGUGUGUCAGAGGGGGGUGGAAUUCCACGUGUAGCAGUGAAAUGCGUAGAGAUGUGGAGGAACACCGAUGGCGAAGGCAGCCCCCUGGGAUAACACUGACGCUCAGGCACGAAAGCGUGGGGAGCAAACAGG